GAUCUGAAAAGUGAUCUUAGAUUUGGAAAGAGUGAUCUCACAUCUCACAGGUGUGAUCCCAGAUCUGGAAAUUGUGAUCCCAGAUGUGGAAAUUGUGAUCCCAGAUCUGAAAAAGUGAUCCCAGAUAUGGAAGGUGUGAUGCCAGAUGUGGAAAUUGUGAUCCCAGAUCUGAAAAGUGAUCCCAGAUCUGGAAAUUGUGAUCCCAGAUCUGAAAAGUGAUCUUAGAUUUGGAAAGAGUGAUCUCACAUCUCACAGGUGUGAUCCCAGGUCUGGAAAUUGUGAUCCCAGAUGUGGAAAUGGUGAUCCCAGAUCUGGAAAUUGUGAUCCCAGAUCUGGAGAUUGUGAUCCUGGAUCUGGAAAUUGUGAUCCCAGAUCUGAAAAGUGAUCCCUGGUCUGGCAGGUGUGAUCCCAGAUUUGUAAAAUGUGAUUCCAGGUCUGGAAAGUGUGAUCCCAAAUCUCACAGGUGUGAUCCCUGAUAUGGAAAUUGUGAUCCCAGGUCUGAAAAGUGAUCCCAGAUCUGGAAAUUGUGAUCCCAGAUCUCACAGGUGUGAACCCAAAUGUGGAAAUUGUGAUCCCAGAUUUGGAAAGUGUGAUCCCAGAUCUGGCAGGUGUGAUCCCAGAUCUGCAAAGAGUGAUCCCAGAUAUGGAAGAUGUGAUGCCAGAUGUGGAAAUUGUGAUCCCAGAUCUGGAAGUUGUGAUCCCAGAUUUGGAAAGAGUGAUCCCAGAUAUGGAAAGUGAUUUCAGCUCUGGAAAUUGUGAUCCUAGAUUUAGAAAGCGUGAUCCCAGAUUUGUAAAGUGGGAUCUUAAAUUUGGAAAGUGUGAUCUCAGACCUGGAAUUUGUGAUCCCAGAUCUGGAAAUUGUAAUCCCAGAUUUGGAAAUUGUGA